rnacentral:lncRNA from 1 species
GUAGAAUACUUUUUAUUUUCUAGAAUAAUUCACUUUCUUCUGAAAGCAAAUUGUCACGCCUAAAAGAUACAAGUGCUUUAAUUAAGGAUGGAUGUCUUUCUAAAGGAAUUUCUCCAGCUCAGCUGGGCACCACUAAGCUCAAAGCAGGAACUGGACUGAGAACUUCCCACAACAGACCAUUGCCUCAGCUGGGCAGCACAGCCACACUGGGAGGACCUUCCCUGCCUCUAUGCUGCAGCACUGAGUUUUGGAAGAUUCCUGCUACAGCACAUUAUUUUGGAAAAGGAUCUGAAACUGAAAGAUGAGCUGUCUUUGCUGUUCUUUAGAACAGAAGGGUACAGCAUUAGAGGACUCAUGUGAGGCAUCCUCAGCCUUCUGUAGCAAACGCUACUGGCUGCUAUGAACAACUCAGCCAUAGAUGGAUGGAUAGAUUUUUUUGCUGUUGUCCGUCCAUCUCAGGUGUCCAUUCCCUACCUUUCACCACACCCACAGCUGGGAAUUGCUCAGGAUGUCUGUGAUAAGGGAAGCUGGAGAAAAUGAGGUGAGAGUAUAGGAGGGGAAGGGGCAAUAUCAACCACUGUAUCAGGUUCUCUGCUAUAUCCAGCAAUCACAUCAGAGGAAGUCCUGCCAAGAAAAUGAGGAAAAGGUUUGUUCUGAAGUCUUCUUCCUAAUAUAUAUAUAGAUAUACAGAUAUGCAGAUCAUGAAGCAGUUGAACAGUGGAGUUUGUUCCUAUACUUUUUCAUUCUAGAUUUGAGCACUCGGGAUCAGGUUGUAAAUAAGACAAUCAGUCCAUGGGGGCAGAACGACACACAAGGGAAAACAGCAUAAAUUAUCAUGAUCUUCAAAUCACUCAGACUUAACCCAGCAGCAAGGAAGUCUUUUGACAGAACAGCAUGGAGCUCUUGCCCUGGAAGACUGGCUGGUAUCUUCCAAGUCUCUGCAGCUCCUAGGACUCAAGGGUCACAGCAGAUGCCCCUAAUUCAGGUGAGCACAUGAACUAUAAAAGCAGAUUACAUCUAUACAUGCUUCUUGAGUCACCUGCACAAUGGACAUCAUUGCACCAGCUGUUCAUCAACCCUAAUGGAAGGUAAAGAAAAGAAAUGCUAGUGUCUGCUUCAGUACUUCAGGCUAGUAAUUAUACUGA